rnacentral:tRNA from 1 species
CGGGGACUAGCUCAGAUGGCUAGAGUGCUGCGUUCGGGACGCAGAGGUCGCCGGUUCGAGUCCGGCGUCCCCGA